CGAAAAGGGCGUUUGGUGGAUGCCUUGGCAGUAAGAGGCGAUGAAGGACGUGAUACUCUGCGAUAAGCGUAGGUUAGCCGACAAUAGGCUUUGAUCCUGCGAUUUCCGAAUGGGGGAACCCACUUGACAGUUAUUUAUUGUUACCUUUGGUGAUCAAUAAGUGGCUGAACCAAGUACUUCUUACCUGAAUAAAAUAGGGUUUGAAGAGCAAACCCGGGGAACUGAAACAUCUAAGUACCCGGAGGAAAGGAAAUCAAUUGAUACUCCGCUAGUAGUGGCGAGCGAACGCGGAUCAGCCGAGACCAAUAAGUGACUGGAACGACCUGGGAAGGUCGGCCAUAGUGGGUGAUAGCCCCGUACAGGAAGCUUUGAGGUACGUAUUAAGUAGGGCGGGACACGUGAAAUCCUGUUUGAAGAUCGGAGGACCACCUCCGAAGGCUAAGUACUCCUUACUGACCGAUAGCGAACCAGUACCGUGAGGGAAAGGUGAAAAGCACCCCGACGAGGGGAGUGAAACAGUACCUGAAACCGAACGCCUACAAUCAGUCGGAGCACCCAUGCGGUGUGACGGCGUACCUUUUGUAUAAUGGGUCAUCGACUU
rnacentral:rRNA from 1 species